rnacentral:rRNA from 1 species
GACGAACGCUGGCGGCGUGCUUAACACAUGCAAGUCGAACGGAAAGGCCUGCUUUCCCUUGUGGAUUGCGGGUACUCGAGUGGCGAACGGGUGAGUAACACGUGAGUGAUCUGCCCCCAACUUGGGUAUAAGCCUGGGAAACUGGGUCUAAUUCCCGAUAGGACUGCAGGGUGGUGCCUGUGGUGGAAAACGAUUUUCUAGUGGUUGGGGAUGAGCUCGCGGCCUAUCAGCUUGUUGGUGGGGUAAUGGCCUACCAAGGCGGCGACGGGUAGCCGGCCUGGGAGGGUGGACGGGCACAUUGGGACUGAGAUACGGCCCAGACUCCUACGGGAGGCAGCAGUGGGGAAUAUGACACAAUGGGCGGAAGCCUGAUGCAGCGACGCCGCGUGGGGGAUGACGGCCUUCGGGUUGUAAACUCCUUUCGACCGCGAGGAAGCCACCUGGUUGGAAGGGUGGUGACGGUAGUGGUAGAAGAAGCACCGGCUAACUACGUG